rnacentral:rRNA from 1 species
UACGAAGGGGGCUAGCGUUGUUCGGAAUUACUGGGCGUAAAGGGCGCGUAGGCGGCGUGUCAAGUCAGGCGUGAAAGCCCCGGGCUCAACCUGGGAACCGCGCUUGAGACUGGCAUGCUCGAGUUCGGGAGAGGAUGGUGGAAUUCCCAGUGUAGAGGUGAAAUUCGUAGAUAUUGGGAAGAACACCGAUGGCGAAGGCAGCCAUCUGGACCGACACUGACGCUGAUGCGGCGAAAGCUAGGGGAGCAAACAGG